GAGACUCUGUGCGCGUGCAUAUCAAUAAGCGGAGGAAAAGAAACUAACAAGGAUUCCCUUAGUAACGGCGAGUGAAGCGGGAAGAGCUCAAAUUUGAAAUCUUAAAGGGUUUCCCUUUACGAAUUGUAGUUUAAAGAAGUGUUUUCUGUUGGAGUUUCGGUAAAAGUUCUUUGGAAUAGGACAUCAUAGAGGGUGAGAAUCCCGUAUUUGACCGUUACUUUCCAGCUGUGUGAUACACUUUCAAAGAGUCGGAUUGUUUGGGAAUGCAGUCCAAGAUGGGUGGUAAAUUUCAUCUAAAGCUAAAUAUUGGCGAGAGACCGAUAGCGAACAAGUACCGUGAGGGAAAGAUGAAAAGAACUUUGAAAAGAGAGUUAAACAGUACGUGAAAUUGUCAAAAGGGAAGCGUUUGACACCAGUGUUGUUUAGUUGAAAAUCAAUUCAAUAGUUUUUGAUUCUAAGUAGUAUUGACUUCAUCAGCUUGCUGCUUUCUUCUCAGAAAUUAUUGAAUGCACUUUUCAGUUAACAAGUCAACAUCAAUUUCUUUUGUUGUAAAAGGGUAAGAGGAAGGUGGCUUGCGCUUCGGCUCAAGUGUUUAUAGCCUUUUAUCUCUGCAAUCGGAGAGAUUGAGGUCUGCAGCGUAGAUCCUUCGGGGUUAGAUACAUUGGUGCUAAGCUAUAGCCUUGUAUAGACAACUUGUUGACUAUGCUCAGUCAUGUAGCUUACUCGCUUAUGCUAUUUUACCUACGCUUAGGAUGUUGACAGCAGUAUAGACUGU
rnacentral:rRNA from 1 species